CUCAUGUCCCCCCUGUCCCCCCAUCCACAUCGGUAGCUGCAGAGCCUGUGUGGAUAAUGAGAGACUGCUCAGGGCCUCUUUACUCCAGAGAACGUUCACCGGAGUUGUUGAAGAUUCUGUAAAAUCUUUACUUUCUUGUGGGAGCUGCUGUUCAGAACUGCCAAAAGAAUGGAUCUUCUGCAUCAUCCCCUACGCCGAAAUAAUUGUUUACUCAUCCUGCGGGAUAUUAAUUCAAAAUAGUCAAUGUAAUAUUUGUGUAUAUUUGCAGCAAAGAGAAGCAUGGUCAGAGUGAAGGAGGGGUUUUAUCAUUUGCAGUUUGAAAGGAACUGCACUCGAAUGUGUUUGCUGUGUGAUGUUUUACUGUGUGCAAAAUGUCAGUGCUGGGAGGCCUGGCAGGGAUGAAUUCCAAUUAUCCAUCAUUAGUCCCUUUUG